CACGUAGGGACCGAGCGUUGUCCGGAAUCAUUGGGCGUAAAGAGCGUGUAGGCGGCCACUUAAGUCCUGCGUGAAAUCUUGCGGCUCAACCGCAAGCGGUCGUGGGAAACUGGGUGGCUAGAGUGCGGGAGAGGAGAGUGGAAUUCCUGGUGUAGCGGUGGAAUGCGCAGAUAUCAGGAAGAACACCCGUGGCGAAGGCGGCUCUCUGGAACGCAACUGACGCUGAGACGCGAAAGCGUGGGGAGCAAACAGG
rnacentral:rRNA from 1 species